rnacentral:lncRNA from 1 species
CCAGCACUUGUCAGGUCAUUACAGGAGGCAAAAACUGGGGCAGAAGUGUUGUAAAGCAGCUCACCAGGUGAAAUUGGUGCCUCGUUCAGUGUGGAAUGACCCCAAAUCUGGCUGGUUUCUCCUGGUUCCUCCUGAAGUCAAAGCAAGCCCUUGAAAGUUCACCGGUUCCUCAGGGUUUCUAAACCUCAGGGCUUCAGUUCUUUACGACGAGAACCCGUGCUUGUUUUUUAUCAUCUCCCCUUUGCAGCCUACACCCAUCCUGUUUGUGUGGUACUGAGUACGUUUGCCUUUUUUCCCAGGAAAGGAAGAAUUGAAACAUCUAAUGUUUCAUCUGUUCACCCAUGAAAUGCUGUGGAUCUCCUCUCUCCUCCUGUUUGCCGCCUCCAUCAUCUGGAUGUGGGAAGAAGGUAGGAGUCAUUUCACCUGCUUUAUUCUUGAUUGCUUCAGUGUCUCAUCUUUCUUUUUCCUCCAGGUCUUGACAGUAGCAUCUUUGAUGGAUAAAAACAAUUCUCAGCUGUAGGAUGUGGUCCCCUGGCCAGCAGGACUGAGCCAGUCCCACUUCCAGACCCAUCCCCAGGCCAUAGGGAACCUUCUUGGCUGCAGUCCUGCUGCCAUUGCACAGCCCCGUUGCAUGGGGUGGUGGACCCUGCACUCCCAGACGCAGCAGUUGGGUGCGGGGCCACCACAAGCCAACUUUCCUUGCCUUGUUCUCAGACCUACCCCAGUUUCUGUCUCACCUUCUGGUUUACUCUGCUCCCGCAGGUCUUUCUGCUGCCUUCUUCUUGUUUGGGUUGUUUUUCUUCCUUGCGGCGCUAGGAAGCGCCCAGGUGGCGGUGGCAGUGGUGUGGAGACCAGCAGCUCUCGGCCACUUCAAAAACACAGUGUGGCACCAAGUUACCCGGAACUCCAUAGCCCCCACAACGCUGAUCAUCAGCUUGUUGUUCUCCACCCUCUUGCUCCACAAUACCCAGCAGCUCCAUGAGCGAGGCUGCUCAGAGGCCGUCGAUCUGACCCUCAGCUGUGUGUUGGCUGCAGUAGCCAUCCUCCUAACGCUGCUGGUGCACAUCCUCCUGUGCUGUAAGUACCCCUGUGGCUUCCUUCUAGCAACUGUCACGAUCUGCCCAGCCAUGGAGACACUUGCAGGCUCAGCUCUCACACCCUCCCCCACCAGCAGGAACAAGGAAAGAUGCUUUUCAGUCAGAUAACAGCUGGACUUUUGAAGAACAGGAUUGUUCAAGUCAGCUGAGGACCCAGCUCUGGUGUCUGUCCUUUUAGAAAAGCCACCAUAGACACUGGUACCUGUCUGUGGUCCUCGUCAGCACCUCUCCUUUGUCCAUGGAUGCUCAAGGAGAGCGAGUUCCUCCUCCAGAACGGCCUACCAUGGUCUUCCCUAGUGAUAGCCAUACCCUGGUCAAAAAAUCCUUAGCUACAGCAAACUUUGGGAGGAGAAAACUAUCUGAUAGACAGGUAAAAAUAGGUCUGGGAACAUCUUAUGACCCAGGAGAACAGCUAACCAGUCAUUCCAGUGAAGUGGGGCUUCCAGAGUGAGCUCUGGGUGGGAGGGCAGAGAUCAGGGAGGUGAUUUCCACGUGUCUACCUUCUUCUUUUUAAAGUUCCUGGUUUCUGUUCUCUCGCCACGUGAAUCCCCUUUGUAGCCACAAUUACCAACUGCCUCUCGCCUCCGCCUGCACAGGCUCUGUGGUGGCCCAGUCUUGAGGACCAGCUGGCCAUCCCAGUGGGCUUCCUGAGAACACUGGCUCAGCCUUCGGGAUCACACGUAGCAUCUCAGGGAACUGGCAAGAAGGGGGGUCAACAGCACGUUGGGGGGAGGAGGCCCUCAAGGAGGGGAUUGAAAGGAGACCCUUGGGCUUCUCCAGAGCAGAGAAAGCAUUUCCAAGUCUGAAAUAUGGGAAAUAUUGCACCGAGUCCCUAGAGCCAAAGGAUUUGGACCCAAAAGGGGUCACCUCCAGAGGGGUGAAAAG